GCGUCGAUGAAGAGCGCAGCCAGCUGCGUGAAUUAAUGUGAAUUGCAGGACACACUGAACAUCGACACCUUGAACGCACAUUGCGGCUCUGGCUCACUGCCAGAGCCACGCCUGUCCGAGGGUCGGCGAACAAGUCAUCGCCAUGCAUGCUGCCUGUAAUGGGCCGGCUGUGUGUGGCGCGUUGGCGCGUCGCGUGGGCUUCGUCCCGCUCGUCCGCCGUAGACUUCAGCCUCUCUCUUGGCGGCCGUGUGAAGUGGCGCCUGGGACUGGGCUCGAACGGGCCUUCAGUUCUGGCGCAACCGUCUGCCUGCUUAACGGCUAGCGGAUGGGACCUUCUAUCGGCUUCCCACGCCCAAAGCCCGGACUCGUUGUAUUGCACUGUGGGCGGUUUGCGGAGAAAAAGAGGGACGCGUGGCACACGAGCGCUAUGUGGUUGGUGCUGACCCCGUCAACAGACGAGACACCGCUGCAUUCACUUGCAUGCACAGUCUCUGUCGCACAUCCAACCUCGGAUCAGACGGGAAUACCGCUGAAUUUAAGCAUAUCAGUAAGCGGAGGAAAAGAAACU
rnacentral:misc_RNA from 1 species